GCUUGGUACGGUUUGUAGCCCUCCAACCCAGCAGCCUUGCCCUAAAAGGACUCUCCCUCUCUUGAGCUAGGUAAGGAGAAAUGUGGAGUUGAAAUUUAUAGGGCUUUUAGGUGUUUGUGUUCGAUUGCCCUAGUUAGGCUUGGAUUUUGGGUUUGUGCUAGUUAGGAAAGUUGUAGAGCAUGAUGAGAGGAAGAUGCUGUUAAAAUUUCAUAGGAAUUGGAGGUCGCCGGAAUUGGCCUCCGGCCGCCGCCGGUUUGGGAGAUUUUUAGGGUUUUAAAUGUGGAAUAUUAAGGGGAUUAUAUUGAGGUGAUUUAUGGAAUUUUUGGAUGAGAUUUGGAUAGGUUUGUGAAUUUCCGAAGUUUGGUAUUUUUGGCGGUUAAUUAAUGUAGAAUCCGGCCGUAAGAUUUAAGUCGUAUUUUUGGGGAGGUUCUAUUUACGACUGCCGAGGAUGAUAUUUAAGUUCGGAUCGUUCCGAUUUAAGAAUAUCGAAGUUAGGCAAUGAUGAGCGUGUUUAUGGCUUUCGGGUAAUUUUGCCUAUUUUGAUUAAUUAUUGGAUUGUUAGUUGGGAAAUUAAUAUUAUAUUUGGAACAGGACCUGAGGAGGCUCGAGCAGACGAGACCCCAGAUCGACAUCAGGCUUAGGCCUAAUUUGUGAGUGGACUUUUGUUUUAAAUAAUGUGCAUGCGAAAUAAUUUAUGUUGUUGGAGAAUAACCGAAAUUGAGAAUUUCGGUGAGUAUAUAUAUAUAUAUCCAUAUGUGGAUGAUUAUGAGAAUAAUAUGUAUAUGAGAGAAUGCUAGCUAGCUAUACGUGCUUUUCCACCAUACUGAGGUAAAAUUCCAUUAUGGUGCGACUUGAGCGUUAGACGCAAUCGUUGUAGCCCUAUAUAAAAUUAAUAAUUUAUAUAGGGGAUAUGCGCGUAUAUUUAUACACCGUCUUUUCCACCAUAAUGAGGUAAAAUGCCAUUAUGGUGCGACGUGAGCGUUAGACGCAAGCGUCGUAGCCUUGUGUGAAUAUUCUAUUUGUCUUUGUUGUUUCAAGAAAAUUCAUACAAGGGAUAUGACGAGUGUAAUACAUACAUAUUUUAUUUUAGCCUGAGAGGCUGUAUUUUGUUGAGCGUUUUGAGCUGUCGCAUGCAGCAUAUUUUUCUAUGGAAAAGUAAAAUUGGGAAAGCAUAAAGAAUUAUUUCCUUUAAUUUAUUUUUGUCCACUCACUCUAACGUGUUCAAAUGUUUCCCCUGGGCCCUUCGUUUUAAAAUGCCCAGUCUGCAGAGUUCGGGUUGGACCUAGUAGGAGACGAGGCAUAGUCACCCGCAUUUUCACCACUUUUCAUCCGUAGGUUACCUAUUUAACCUACAUGUGAUUUCUUAUUUCCGCUAGUGUCUAGUAGCUCUGAAUUCUUAGGUUUAAUGUGUAUUAUUUCGGUUGUGGGUGAGGACUUGUUGAGGUCUUAUAAUAUUUGUUGGAGGAUUUAUGCUAUCUUUUGGAUAAUUAUGUUUGAUGUGUGGAUAAUGUUGUGUUGUUGGUGGUAGUUGUAAUUUGGGGAGCACGUAGGCUUCAGGAGUUAAGGUUGGAUUAAAAUUUUUGGAAGUGUUUGCAGGUUUUCCUUAGGAAGGGUUGUCCAUUUUCAAGGGAGGUUAUGCCGAUUUUGCGGUAAAAUCUUUCUUGGAGGUGGUCCCCGCACGAUUUACUCCGGGUUUCAGGGUGAAAUUCGGGGUGGGUCGUGUCAAAAUAUAUCAUGCUCACUUAUUCCGGCCUCUAUGUACAAGGCUGACCAGACAAAAUUAAAUUUUUUUCUUUGCCUUUUAGGUCAGGUCUACAACUCCCUAGAAGGUGCACCACUAAUUUGUCUGUGCUAUUGUGUGGAAUAAAAUUUCUCAAGUUUGAUUGGUUGUGUGUAGUUGUUAGUACCCGAAAAAUCAUGUCGUCAUUUAAAACGUCGUCACACAUAGUCACACAACUCGAAUAAGGAAUUUAUUGGUUUCAUUCACAAUCUUAGAUCGCCUAGCAAAUAUUCCCAUUAAUACGGGCCCAAGCCGUAUCUGCGCUUGUUUGGGGCUUGCAGAAGUGGGUGUGGUGUGGUGUGGAAGGUUACGAAAACGUAUGAUACUCAUUUGUCGGUUUAAUGUCGUUGGUGAUUUCGGACUUGGGCCCGAAAUCCAAGCCCAAAAACUUAGAUUAACAAAUGAGAUGGUGAACAUGCAAAGAGAAUUUGAGUCAAACUACCAUUUCUUUCAAACCUAAGCCCUAACUGUACUUGGGCCCAACAACAUCCUUCUCGUUUACCUAAAUGAACUAUUGACUUAGGUUCAUCCUAUCCAUACAUAAAGACGAAAGGGAAUGCAGAUGUAACUGCAAUCUCCUACACCAAUGCCCCAAACAAUGUUUUGGUUGGUCUUGACUAAUGUCAGAUAUCUAUAAUCAUUAGGUCGCUCCUAAACUGGUUAUGUGAUCAUCAUUGGGAACACAAUGAUAUCUUGUGAGAAACAUCAGACUAUCCUCAAGUUUCAAGUGAAUCAAGUAAGGUCUGAGGAGAAUAGGACAUACUUGUUUCUCAAAUCACAGCCUAAGGCUAUAUCUGAAAGAAAUGAGAGAAACAUAGGAAUGCAAAGACGUUCCUAGCUCCCUUAAUUGAUGUAAGGAUCAAGAGAGUGUAGAAUUCAAGGGAAGUCUGACACACAUAGGUGCGUUAUGCUCUUUUUCGUUCGACCAAGAUUUAUUUUGUCCCACUGAGUUUUGUUACUUGGCAAAGUUUUUAAUGAGGCAACACCCCAUGCACUGUUUUGACUUUGACUUGGCACAAGGGGAAGUGUUGAAGGAAAAUGUUUUAUAAGUGUCUUCAUCAAAGUAACUAACGAGAGUUAAUUAUGUAAUCAACAUGUGUAAUUUCUCAAUCAGUUAUUAUUGUCAUUAUGUAUGUUUUAAUUACCUUUGUAAUCUCACCUCUAUAUAAAUGGGAGUAUCAAUGAAAUGAGUAUAUUAUUCUGAUUCUCAUUUUACUUUUACUUUUACAUUUACAUUUGAAUGAGUUUUAGUGUUUUACCCAAUUUAAG
rnacentral:lncRNA from 1 species